GAGCUGCUGAAGAUGGAGAUGGAGAUGGAAAUGAGAGCUGGUGAAGACAUAGGAAUCGGCGAAGACAUAACCCCACCACUCUCUCCACUCUCUUUCUCUCUCUACGACUCCUUUCUUCACUCCCACUGCUCUUCUUGCUUCUGCCCACUCCCUAAUCGCCCUUCACAUCCCACCCCCAUUCCCCACUCUCUCCUCUACUGUUCCCCUCUCUGCUCCUCCUCCAACUCCC
rnacentral:misc_RNA from 1 species